rnacentral:lncRNA from 1 species
GUUUGACCUUAACCAGCUCACAGAUCUCAAUUUUUGCAGACAAAAGAUUAAUUAGCACCCGCCGUGAAAUGAAGUGGUGUGUGAAGAUGACAUGUUGCUUCUCUGAGACCUUAGGCAAGUGUUAUGUGUUAACUGUCAACUUGACAGAAUCCGGAACCACUUGGGAGCUUAACAUCCAGCUUGUUAUGAAGGUCACCACCCAGAAGGCAGAAAAAGAAAGAACUCGGGGAACCAUGCAGAAGAGGAUUAUCAUGAGAUUCACAGCGGGCCAUGGACUUCUGCUUACUGAUGUAAAACUCAGUCCCUCCACCCCACUAAACUACAAGGAAGCCUGGGCGAUAUGGUCUCCACGCAUUCUCUACGAAAAAGGUCAGCAGUGACGGGUCUGUCAGUGGGUGAUCACUGAGCCUUCUCGGAAGACUCCUAGUUAGACCUAAAGACGCUAGCACGAAACCUCAUUCCAGAGAUAAGAAGAGAGGAAAGGGAGGGUUUGGGGACCUCUCUCAGCUGUCUUUUACUUCAGUGGAAAUACAACAGUCCUAAAUUCACCAAUCGACCGUGUCGCACCUUGACUGGCCAGAAACUAAGCUUGUUUCUUAGCAUGGGUUUGAAAGGUUGACAUAAACUCCAUUUGUCUCCGCUUAAAGACCAAACCUGAUUACCAAAAGAAGACGUAAGGCACCAGCUCCAGGAACAGACCGUAAAAUCCACAGUAAGCUCAUAAAACCCCCUCCCAAAGAGUAGCCUGGGGAUAACCACAGAAGUAGGGAAAUGUCUUAUCUCAGGAUGGACCAUCUGCGCUGGGCAGCCCUAUCUCAUCCUAUGACUAAACAUUCAUGACAUAAGAAUGCAGACCGCUGGCCAGCUGUGACCCCCUAGCACCCAACAGUGCAAUUUUAGAUUACCCAAUCCUUCUAGAGGUUCCCCCAGUUCCCUUCUUAUAAGCCCUGCGUGCCUUUGUCUUGGGUCGCCAUUUUAAAGAAUGGUUAACCCCUGGUUGUUUCUGCAGAAAAAAUGUUGUUUGUCUUUGCAUACUAUCUGAGUCUGGGGUCUUCCUUCAGCAAUUUUGAGACUCUUACAGGGAUAUAAGCAAGGUAGCCUGAAAGUACAAAGGGACAACCAGGGCUAUACAGAGAAACCCUGUCUCAAAAAAAACAAAAACAAACAAACAAAAAGUACAAAGGGAUGACUGUCCACAAACAAAGCAGAAGGUGAAGUGGGCCUGGCAGGUAGGAGGAGGGUCUGUCAAGGUUUCCUUCGUAUCAGCCAGACAAAAAAGAGCCUCGUGCUUCUCUACAGAUUAAUAGCUCAAUGCACUGCAGGGUAUUUAUAAGAUUGGGAUAGUACACAGGAAUGAGGCAGGAAAACAAAACAAAACAAAACAAAAAAACAUUGCUACAAGUAACACAUUGGUUGCACAGAUAUUAAGUUGAGUAUAAGAAACAAAAAAAUUUUUUAAAAAUCUAUAUUUAUAUACCAUGUAAUUCCACUUUUACAAAUCC